AUUCAUCGGUAAGGGAUGGGCAUGCGUAGGAUUAGUUAGUUGGCGGGGUAACGGCCCACCAAGACUGUGAUCCUUAGGGGUUCUGAGAGGAAGGUCCCCCACACUGGCACUGAGAUACGGGCCAGACUCCUACGGGAGGCAGCAGUAGGGAAUAUUGGGCAAUGGGCGGGAGCCUGACCCAGCCAUGCCGCGUGCAGGAAGAAGGCGUUAUGCGUUGUAAACUGCUUUUAUACGGGAAGAAAAGGCCCAUGCGUGGGACAUUGCCGGUACCGUAUGAAUAAGCACCGGCUAACUCCGUGCCAGCAGCCGCGGUAAUACGGAGGGUGCAAGCGUUGUCCGGAUUUAUUGGGUUUAAAGGGUGCGUAGGCGGCCCGUUAAGUCAGCGGUGAAAGUCUGUGGCUCAACCAUAGAAGCGCCGUUGAUACUGAUGGGCUUGAGUGCCGUAUGGGUACAUGGAAUUGAUGGUGUAGCGGUGAAAUGCAUAGAUACCAUCAGGAACACCGAUAGCGUAGGCAUUGUACUGUGCGGCAACUGACG
rnacentral:rRNA from 1 species